CACCUGGUGGCACAUGGUGUGCACCUGCCUUCCGUAAACGAUCAGUUGGUAGAAUGUGUGGGCAGGAGGUCCCCGUUCGACUCGGGGUCGGGUGA